UAAAAUUAUACUGAACAACUAAACUAUAUUUGCAUUCAAAUUAGGACACAUCAUCGUCAAUAGAAAUUUUUGUCGGUAUAGAUAUAUAUCCAUUUUAUUGAUUUUUAGCCUUAACAGUAUAAUAUAUACACAGAGAUGAUUACUCCAUAUCAUAAUCUACAACGCUUGUUUUUUGAAAAAUGAUCUUUUUGUAUAUAAUCCAGGUACCGUUGCAAAUGGGGCGUUGUUGUUCAAUUCAAAAGUAUACGAAGACCAAGUAAAUGAACAAUAUUUAUCGGCUAAAAACGUAAAUAAAAAAGGAUUCACGAUAUAAAUUAAAAAAAAAAACAAUAACGAUAACGGAGUGAAGUUUAACGGCGAAUCUACCGACGGAACCGAGAAGAUGAGGCGGAGCCGUAUUAACAGAGCUUACCGGAGAAAACUAUUAUCACCGCUUAUUUACCGUAGACUGUUCCAAGUGAUCCAACAGAAAGGGAAUUUGCAAUCACGGACACCAUCUUCAGAACUUAUUUUUCUUAACUGUAUCCAUGAAUCUCUGCUUUGUAAGAUCGUUUCUUGAGAUAUACUCAAGAAAAUCAUUAAAGCUGAAAUCUCCAUAAGCAGCUGGUUUGUCUUCAUUCACAAGCUGAGGUGCUGGACUUAUCUUCUUGUUCAUUGGUAAGCUGUGUAGACUCGCGAAAGAGAGGCGGUUGACAUCUUUGUUCACUGUUACUCGAUGAACCACACUCCUGUAGAUGCCAUUGCUCAUCACUUCUACUUGAUCUCCAAGCUGCACAAUCAGAGCUCCUUCUAUGUACGGCACACAGAUCCAGUUGUUGUUUUUGUCUUUUAUCUGAAGCCCCUGGCUGCUUUGGAGUAAGAUGGUCAGUGAGCUAAAGUCAGAGUGUGGUGGCAUCCCCAAGGCUAUCCCGGGUUGUGGACACGCUGGGUAGCAGUUCACCGCCAUGACUUGUGACCCUUCUUCGAUUUCUUCCUGUAAGUAACUUUUCUCGAGGCCUAGACUUUCUGAGAUAGCUUCCAUUAAUUGCUUGUGUAACACAUGCGUUGCUUCUGAGUAUUUCCCCACUUUUUUCCUGAUAGUUAGAGGAUAGAUCACAUCAGUUCUGAGUCCUAGAUAGUAUUACAAGUUUUGAAACAUCUAUGGAGCAAUAGGAUAUUUCUACUGUUGUGACGGACCAGACUCUUUACUAUAGCCAAAUGUCCGUCACUAGAUGUCCAAUUCCUCGCUUAGUAUGAUAUUUAGGAGAAGCCUUCCCCCAAAAAAAAAUUUGUCAGGGCUUACUCCCAAAACAGACAAUAUCAUACUAAGCGAGGGGUUGGACAUCUGGUAAUGAAUCUAGUAGAGCAUCUGGUCCAAAAAUGGGCAUCUGGUCCGUCAUAUGUACCCAUAAAAUGUGAAUAAGUUUUGUUUGAUAUUUCAUAUAGUGAAGUUGGCCUAGAUAGGUUAACUUACUUGUAGCAUGGAGGGUUGGAUGGCCAGAGAUCAAUCCACUUUGAGGGAGGGUGUGAGUAAUGUUUAAUGAAGUCUCUCCAGUAAUGAACACUGUCUGUUGCAUGGUUGAUGCUGGUGCCAUAUCUUACUGGCGUAUGAACAUCAUCAGAAACCAGAAGCAUCUUCUCAUGGGAAGGUAAGUCAAAGAACCUUGUAGCUGCAUCAAGUGCAUCUCUCAUCACCGAUGAUGAUAUUCCAUGGUUUGUAACCUGUUGAGAAGAAAGUUUUUGAUCAGAGUUAUGUACUUGAAUAAAGAGUGAUACAAAUGAUACUAGUGUAGUGUGCUUUAAUGAAACAGAGCAGAGCCAGCAUACAUGACAUUAGCAUAAAGAAUAAAGAUAAGCAUGUCCACGUGGCUACUUACUUUUAUCCUCAA